GGGGGGGGGGGGGAUUUUUAAAGAAGCGAGUUAAAACAACACAUUGCUCGUGACUUUUUCGCCGCAAGAGCCGAAGAACGGCAGGCGGUGCCAGUGGAAGACGAGGUUCGAAGGAGAAUAAACCGGCGUGCGUGUGCAGAGACGGCGGGCAGCGCCCCGAAGAACGCCGACGCCCACCAGCCGUCCUUUGUGUUCGUCCGCGUGCGUGUUUUUGCACCACGGGCACAUUUUCGCACCCGCAAGAGACGACAAGCGGGCCUGGCAGCCGGCGCUCGUGUCAGCAGCCGCCGCCGUGAGGCUGGCACGCCGGGCGCCCGGCUGAGGAGACUCGUCCCUCUGCGUCCCGCAGCCAGAGAAAGUAAAAGUAGGUCAGUUUU
ensembl:lncRNA